AGUUUUCUCCACGCGCCUGAGAGAAGGACGGUACAUGGCUGACCCACUGAGCCCGGCCACAGGCUUCCUUUGGCUGAGAAGUAUGAAUGAAGUAAUCAAAUAAUCCCUGUAGACUCUCAGUUUCUAAGUAUUAUGCUUUUAGGGAGUCCUCUUCCAUACUAAGUUGGGAUUAGCCAGCAUGACCAAUAGGAUAUAGUGAUAUUGUAUGAUUUCAGACAAUAUUAUAAAAAUCUUCUAGUUCCUCUUUAGGUUCUAGGAAUCUAGGAGAGUCAUCUACUGACAGAGAGGACAUUAAAGCAACCAUACACAGAUACAUACAUGGAGAGCAGCUAAUGGCCCGGACAGUGACUGAUGCCAACAGAAGUCAUAUGGCUGAACCAUAUUGGAAGGUGAUCCUCCAGCAAUAGGGAGACUUUGGGUGAUGCAGCAUCAACUAAGUCUCAUGAGAGACCUUGAACCAGAGCAAUACAGUCCGAAUUCACAACCUGCAGGAACUGAGGGAUAACAUGGGAAUGACCUGUCAUAUGAUAAUGGGUAGCUAACACAGUCAUAGACCUGUAUGGGGACAUUAUGAGCAUGUGGGAAGCUGAGGAAGCCUUGAGAGAGUGUGUGUGAAGGCCUGCACAGUCAUGUCAAGGACCCAUUGCUUCAGAUAUAUGAAAAUGGCAAAGCCUUCUUCUGGUCUGAAUGGGAGUGUUGGCAGUGUGUGCAAAGACUAGCAAACAGCUUCUUCCACCCGGAUGACUACAUUCUGAGGCUUCUCGCUUACAGAGACCUCUUUCAGAUAUUGUACAGCACCCCCCCCCCGUGCUGUAGAUA
rnacentral:lncRNA from 1 species